GUAACUUGGAAGCAUUGAAGGUUACAUAACAAAAUAAUUCACAUCCAGAUCCGUCUGAUCAUGCUGAGCACCGAGUUGCACUGUUUGAGUUUGUCGCGGAGCCAAGCGUCUCCUUUGCCGUUCUCCUCUAUGGUGAUCCCCAGGAUCUCUACCGAAGGGGACGGCUGGAUUCAUUUCCCCGCCAGGACCAGCGAUGAUGACGGGACGUCUGGUGAGGAUAGCGAGUUCUCGGAACCUUUUGUUGACGACGGGGGCGAUUCCGAC